rnacentral:tRNA from 1 species
GGCGGCGUAGCUCAGUUGGCCAGAGCAAACGGUUCAUACCCGUUCGGUCGGUGGUUCGAAUCCACUCGCCGCUACCA